ACUCAAAGGAAUUGACGGGGGCUCACACAAGCGGUGGAGGAUGUGGCUUAAUUCGAGGCUACGCGAAGAACCUUAUCCUAGGCUUGACAUGCAUGGAUACCCUCUUUGAAAGAAGAGUAAGUUGCCCUUGUGGUGAAACUUGCACAGGUGCUGCAUGGCUGUCGUCAGCUCGUGUCGUGAGAUGUCGGGUUAAGUCCCUUAACGAGCGAAACCCCUGUCACCAGUUGCUAUCGAGUGAUGUCGAGGACUCUGGUGAGACUGCCGAAGUUAAUGAGGAGGAAGGUGGGGAUGACGUCAAGUCCUCAUGGCCUUUAUGUCUAGGGCUGCACACGUCCUACAAUGGCAUCCACAAAGGGAAGCGAGACUGUGAAGUGGAGCUAAUCCCAAAAAAGGUGUCUCAGUUCGGAUUGCAGGCUGCAACUCGCCUGCAUGAAGCCGGAAUCGCUAGUAAUCGCGGGUCAUCAUACCGCGGUGAAUAUGUUCCUGAGCCUUGCACACACCGCCCGU
rnacentral:rRNA from 1 species